AGAAGAGAGAGGCAGGCUGUUACUAUGGAGCCCAAGAUCAAGACAGUGAUCCUCCUGCCUCUGCUUCUCCAAGGCCUGGAUUGUAGGCUCCAAUGAAUGUCAUUUCACUUCAGUGAGCUUCGGUCUCUUCAUUGAUAAAAUUGCCAUUAAAACUUCAUAACGGGAAGUCAUUCAUAAGUAAGCCAAUGAGAUGACAAGUGUAACAGCAACCAGCCAAGCCUCCGGAGCAUUGUAGCUGUUUAAUUAAAUCGACUUUUCUUAGUUCACGACCCAUUCAUAAAUUUGAUGCAGACCAGAGAUCAUGUUUCUGCUGCAAGAGGAAGAAACUUACUCAAGACAGUGCAAGAAACGGGUGUUGAAAUUGCUGCAAAGAAACCACCGGGCUCAACUGAAAACAGAGAUUUGCAAGCCAUCAAUAAUCCUGGUCUGUCUCCUGGGGGACUGUGUGGCCUUUGCUCUGAGUGUCUGCUCCACUCUUCUCACAGAGGCAAGCUUGUCUGCCACGCAGGAAGUCUUGAUGUCUACAGCCCCACUAGCUGGCACUCCUGGUGAUCGCUUUCCUGUCAUCAGAGGAAGAUCUGCCACUGUGGCAUGUACCAAAGCCCCCGUCGCUUCUGUCAGGGAAUGAGAGGCAAACCUCCAGCACGACGGGAAACAUGCACAAUCUGAGAAUCACACGUGAGGGGAGUCAGUUAUGCUUCAGAGAUGAGUCACAUAGGGUGGCACAGAUGGUGCAAGUGACGUCUCAAGAUGUAAAAAUGUGGAUGGAACCCACACCGAGGAUUAACCUAGCAAGUGCAGUGUCCCUAGGGUGCAAUAUUGGCUUGCACCUUGGUGGUAACCAGUGGCUCUUUAAUUGGGCUUAAGACUUGCUCAAGAGGAGGGUAAUCAUGCCUUGUACUGGACAUCUAGACAGCUUCCCGGAGAAAUCAUGGAUCUUGGAGAAGAAACAAAAACUACCAAUGUACUAAACCAGCACAAUCCCUAACUGCAUUAAAUAUGUAUCUUUGAAUGCACCGACAAGAAUAGGUCUCAUUCCUCUGCAAAGAAAUGUCUCUUUGCCACAGACAGAGAUCUCUACAGAAAAUCACACCUGAUCAAAAUGCAAAGAGCAAGUGACCACGUGGUGUCCAGUCCCAACUGAUAAAUCCACAGUACAACUACUGUACCUAAGACUCAGGGAGCAUUGUGGAAGAGGAGGUAGGAAGACCGUAAGAGCCAGAGAAACAAGAACUUGGCUGUGAGAUUGAGUCUCCUAGAAAUGUCAGAGAAGUUACACCCAUGAAGUCUCAUCAGCAUGACUGCAUACACAAGACCUGAACAAGGACAACAUGGAUAGACAUGCUAACAUGGAAGGAAGAAAUCUCAUGGAAGCUCAACCCUAAAUGAAGAAGCACAGACAACUAAGGAAGUCAUGAGUUGGACAAAUCGUCAUCCCCAGGGAAGAGUCCCCAGUUGGUUAUCCAAUACUAAGUGUCCAGACCUAUAAUAACAUACACACAAGUAGCAUUAUACAGACU